rnacentral:rRNA from 1 species
GACGGACGCUGGCGGCGUGCUUAACACAUGCAAGUCGAACGGAAAGGCCCUGCUUUUGUGGGGUGCUCGAGUGGCGAACGGGUGAGUAACACGUGAGUAACCUGCCCUUGACCUUGGGAUAACUUCAGGAAACUGGGGCUAAUACCGGAUAGGAGCUCCUGCUGCAUGGUGGGGGUUGGAAAGUUUCGGCGGUUGGGGAUGGACUCGCGGCUUAUCAGCUUGUUGGUGGGGUAGUGGCUUACCAAGGCUUUGACGGGUAGCCGGCCUGAGAGGGUGACCGGCCACAUUGGGACUGAGAUACGGCCCAGACUCCUACGGGAGGCAGCAGUGGGGAAUAUUGCACAAUGGGCGGAAGCCUGAUGCAGCAACGCCGCGUGCGGGAUGACGGCCUUCGGGUUGUAAACCGCUUUCGCCUGUGACGAAGCGUGAGUGACGGUAAUGGGUAAAGAAGCACCGGCUAACUACGUG